CACUUGGACUGGACUGGACCAGAGAGCAGCCCUUGGGCAGGGCAGGGAAGGCCAAGUGCAAAUGCUCAUCUUCUCUUCAUCCCAGCUGACCAUACCCUCAGCAAACUUCAACUGUUGGCUUUACAACUCCUACCUGAUGAUCCUGGAGACAGCCUCUACAUCUUUCUCCACACACUUCUCCUGAUGACUUCCUUUUUCACAGGAGAACACUGAGGCUAUCUAGGAAAUAACAUUCCUGAGCAUUCCUUAUGCAACAUGAAAGUUCUGUUGUCAGUUCUCAAUGAAGCCAUCAGAUCUUCCUGACUGCUGCCUAACACAAGAGCACAGGACUCCUGUAUCAUUCCCUGAGGAUUCAGAAAUUUGAUCAAAUAGAGAUUUUCAGGAAUUGCCUUCCAAUCAAUUUCCUGAGCAAAAAUCAUCACAGAAGAUUUCUGUGACCAAAUAUAUAGGGGUUUUUCUCCACCAAUAAGCAAUCAAUUCUGCAGUGGACAUCAUCUGGGAAUCCUCCAAUUCAACAUCUGACACUAUCCACCUGGAGAUAGCAUCAGAUCCCACAGGUUGAAGGCACAGUCUUCAUGACCACCUCCACUCUUCAGACACCAAUUUUAAGUCUGGGCCUCCAGAACAUCUGACCAACUGGGGUUCUCACAACCCCUCUUUGGAUUCAAUUAAUUUCCUGGAGUACCUCACAGAACUCAGGGAAACAUUUAUUUGUGUUUAUUUGUUUAUUGUAAAGGAUAUUUUAUAGACUACAAAUAAAGAGCCAGAGAUACUUAGGGUGAGGUCUGGAAGGGUCUUGAGUGUAGCAGUUUCUGCCUCCAUGGAGGUAGAGUGCACCACCCUUCUUACAUAUGGAUGAGUUCUUGUUCAUCUCCCUGUAGGUCUCCCCAUGUUUAGCUCUCUGGAAGCCCCUGAAUCCCGUCCUCUCAGGCCUUAUAUGGAGACUUCAUUGGAUAGGCAUGAUUGCAUCACGGACAACCAUGUCACAAUGUGACUGGACAAAAAGGGUAUGAUUUAAACUCAGCAAAGGCCAAACUGUUCAGAUUCUUCACUCCUUUCUGUGCAGCAUUCCUUCCUCCAGGGUAUGGGGCAGGAUCUUCUCUAGAAUGAGGGUCUUAUGACCCACAAUCAGAUUAGAGUCCUGUCUUGGAAAGGUGAAAGAAAGGAGGGCAGGAGGAGGUUAGAGGGAAAGAUUCUCUUUAUUGUAACAAAGGCUAUGGGAGUUUAACCCCAGGAACUGUAGAUGAAAAUUGUCAUAUUAUGAUAAAUCAAACAAAAACUGAGUUCUUGUAAUAGCUUUGAAAUAGUCUCAAAUGCUUCUAAAUAACACUGAUAUUAUAAAAUAGGUCUAAUGGGACAUUGAAAAGCCUGGUUGUUUCUGAUGUUAGGAUUAAUAAGUAAAAACAAAAAAGAAACUGAUUGGCACCUAAAUAUAAAUAUCCUGGUCAGGAUUUAAAAAAGAAUUCAUAUAAAUGAUACAACCACAUAUUUGAAAAUGUGCAAUAUGUAUUAUCCAGGUAUUAGCUGGAUCCAGGUAUUAGCUGGUAUUUCAGCUACUAUGGAGUAAUUACUUUGUCUUUCUUAUGGUUUCCAAAAUGUAGAUAAGGGAGUUUCACUGCAUCUUCUGGAAGCCAAGCCUGAGUUUUGCCAUCAUUACAUGAAUUCUGCCACAAAUCAGAAAUUUGCAUUAUUGGUAAAGCUACUCAAACAUAGCAAGCUAAUUAAUACAUUAUAUUGCAGGAGAGAGGCUUAGAGAAAUGAUUACAAUUACUUUCCAAAAUGUAAAAUCAAUCAUAAAUUAUCCUUACAAUUGCUUGAACUGAAACCAAGAAAUAAAGUAAAUUACUCAUCCUUUUAAGGCUGGUUGCAAUAAACUCACUUUCUCAGAUCUUUAUGGCUUACUAGUUUUUCUGUUUAUGUUCCUGACUUUAAGCUAAGUUACCACAGAGAUUCUGCAAAUAUGGGUUUGUUUGUAUGUUUGGAGAUAAUUGAAGUGGCUCUUUAAGAAGCAUAAAUUUGAAAAUGUAUUGCUUCAAGUUGCUUUGCAAGAUUCAUGCUGGGUCAUUAAAAGAGAAAAAAUUAAA
rnacentral:lncRNA from 1 species